UACGUAGGGGGCUAGCGUUGUCUGGAAUCAUUGGGCGUGAAGCGCGCGUAGGCGGCCCGGUAAGUCCGCUGUAAAAGUCAAAGGCUCAACCUUUGAAUGCCGGUGGAUACUGUCGGGCUAGAGUCCGGAAGAGGCGAGUGGAAUUCCUGGUGUAGCGGUGGAAUGCGCAGAUAUCAGGAGGAACACCAACGGCGAAAGCACUCUGCUGGGCCGACACUGACACUGAGGCACGAAAGCGUGGGGAGCAAACAGG
rnacentral:rRNA from 1 species